rnacentral:rRNA from 1 species
UGGGGAAUUUUGGACAAUGGGCGAAAGCCUGAUCCAGCAAUGCCGCGUGUGUGAAGAAGGCCUUCGGGUUGUAAAGCACUUUUGUCCGGAAAGAAAUCCUUGGCUCUAAUACAGUCGGGGGAUACGGUACCGGAAGAAUAAGCACCGGCUAACUACGUGCCAGCAGCCGCGGCAAUACGUAGGGUGCAAGCGUUAAUCGGAAUUACUGGGCGUAAAGCGUGCGCAGGCGGUUUGCUAAGACCGAUGUGAAAUCCCCGGGCUCAACCUGGGAACUGCAUUGGUGACUGGCAGGCUAGAGUAUGGCAGAGGGGGGUUAGAAUUCCACGUGUAGCAGUGAAAUGCGUAGAGAUGUGGAGGAAUACCGAUGGCGAAGGCAGCCCCUGGGCCAAUACUGACGCUCAUGCACGAAAGCGU